UUCAGUAUGGCAGAUUAGUGUAAUGAACUUAAAACUCAUAUAUAAAUAUUUUUAUUUUGCUGAAA
rnacentral:tRNA from 1 species